CUAUGAGCUGCCCCAAUUUUUAUAGAAGGACCAUUACAUCUGGGCAGAAGAUUUUCCAGAAGUCUCCUUUUCCAGUACUUCACCUGGGUUCCAAGGAGUAUAGUCAUCCUUCUUUAUCCACAAGGGAAUUGUUCCAGGACACCCUCCCCCCACCCCAUGCCCUCCACAGAUACUAAAAUCAAAGGAUGCUUCAGUCCUUUAUGUAAAAUGGCUUAAUAUUUGCAUACCACCUACACACAUCCUCUUGUAUGUUUUAAGUCAUCUCUAGAUGAUUUGUAAUGAUCCAUACAAUGUCAAUGCUGUAAAUAGCC
rnacentral:lncRNA from 1 species